UACGUAGGGCGCAAGCGUUAUCCGGAAUUAUUGGGCGUAAAGAGCUCGUAGGCGGUUUGUCGCGUCUGCCGUGAAAGUCCGGGGCUCAACUCCGGAUCUGCGGUGGGUACGGGCAGACUAGAGUGCAGUAGGGGAGACUGGAAUUCCUGGUGUAGCGGUGAAAUGCGCAGAUAUCAGGAGGAACACCGAUGGCGAAGGCAGGUCUCUGGGCUGUAACUGACGCUGAGGAACGAAAGCAUGGGGAGCGAACAGG
rnacentral:rRNA from 1 species